CCUACGGGAGGCAGCAGUAGGGAAUUUUCGUCAAUGGGCGCAAGCCUGAACGAGCAAUGCCGCGUGAACGAGGAAGGUCUUCGGAUCGUAAAGUUCUGUUGAAGGGGAAAAAGAGCGGAGAGAGGAAAUGGUCUCCGAUUGAUAUUACCCUUCGAGGAAGUCACGGCUAACUACGUGCCAGCAGCCGCGGUAAUACGUAGGUGGCGAGCGUUAUCCGGAAUGAUUGGGCGUAAAGGGUGCGUAGGCGGCCUGCUAAGUCUGGAGUGAAAGGUACCGGCUCAACCGGUACAGGCUCUGGAAACUGGCGGGCUAGAGAGCAGGAGAGGGCGGUGGAACUCAACGUGUAGCGGUAAAAUGCGUAGAUAUAUGGAAGAACACCAGUGGCGAAGGCGGCCGCCUGGCCUGUGACUGACGCUGAGGCACGAAAGCGUGGGGAGCAAAUAGGAUUAGAGACCCCAGUAGUC
rnacentral:rRNA from 1 species